GCACUUCGGAGUCGGCUCCCUCCGGGCGA
rnacentral:sRNA from 1 species